rnacentral:rRNA from 1 species
UAGGGAAUCUUCCGCAAUGGACGAAAGUCUGACGGAGCAACGCCGCGUGAGUGAAGAAGGUUUUCGGAUCGUAAAACUCUGUUGUGAGGGAAGAACAAGUACCAAGUAACUACUGGUACCUUGACGGUACCUCACCAGAAAGCCACGGCUAACUACGUGCCAGCAGCCGCGGUAAUACGUAGGUGGCAAGCGUUGUCCGGAAUUAUUGGGCGUAAAGCGCGCGCAGGCGGUCCUUUAAGUCUGAUGUGAAAGCCCACGGCUCAACCGUGGAGGGUCAUUGGAAACUGGGGGACUUGAGUGCAGAAGAGGAAAGUGGAAUUCCACGUGUAGCGGUGAAAUGCGUAGAGAUCGGAAGGAACACCUGUGGCGAAGGCGACUAUCUGGG